GCGACUCUCUGGUCUGUAACUGACGCUGAGGAGCGAAAGCGUGGGGAGCGAACAGGAUUAGAUACCCUGGUAGUCCACGCCGUAAACGAUGAGUGCUAAGUGUUAGGGGGUUUCCGCCCCUUAGUGCUGCAGCUAACGCAUUAAGCACUCCGCCUGGGGAGUACGGUCGCAAGACUGAAACUCAAAGGAAUUGACGGGGGCCCGCACAAGCGGUGGAGCAUGUGGUUUAAUUCGAAGCAACGCGAAGAACCUUACCAGGUCUUGACAUCCUCUGACAACCCUAGAGAUAGGGCUUUCCCUUCGGGGACAGAGUGACAGGUGGUGCAUGGUUGUCGUCAGCUCGUGUCGUGAGAUGUUGGGUUAAGUCCCGCAACGAGCGCAACCCUUGAUCUUAGUUGCCAGCAUUCAGUUGGGCACUCUAAGGUGACUGCCGGUGACAAACCGGAGGAAGGUGGGGAUGACGUCAAAUCAUCAUGCCCCUUAUGACCUGGGCUACACACGUGCUACAAUGGACAGAACAAAGGGCUGCAAGACCG
rnacentral:rRNA from 2 species